UCCCCGGUAGCUCAGUUGGUAGAGUCCGCCAGAGGCGGAUUAACCACUUAGUCGCUGGUUCGAGUCCGGCCCGGGGAGCCA
rnacentral:tRNA from 1 species